rnacentral:lncRNA from 1 species
AUGCUGUCACUGCUGAAAAAGAAAAAAAAUAUCCAAAGUGCAAUGAAGAAAUUGCGCACAAGAACAAGCUACGGUCUGUCCUCUAUGCUGAUGUUGGCAGCCUGCUUCUGCAGAACAUGCUUAACUGGCUAUCUGAGGACCAGAGGGGAAGACAGCCGACCCCACCACUUCUGAGACCCUAUCUUGCAGCCUUAUGAAAGGAGAAGUUAUGCUUAAUUCUUGGGGAAACAAAGGAAUGGCUACACCAGUAAGUUAGCCUUACCAUUGACUUGGAACUCUGAGAAGUGGAGAUGGGGACGACAGUAAUGGGGACAGAUGAACAAUGUCUCUUGCUUUAGGUUCAGCAGUCAGAGACCCAGGCACCAAGCGAGAAGGAACUCAGCCUACUGAAAUAACUUCUUAGGUCAAUUCCUGGAUCCAGUAUUUCCUCAGUGCCAUCCAUUCUACAGUCCAGAUUAAUCCUCCCUAAAAACCUUUCCAACAUGCCACUGAAGUACUCUAAUUGGCUCCUCCUGAUAUCCUAUCAAAAUGGGCUUCUAAUUCGACCUAACUUAUUUUACAGAAGAAGCUGAG